UACAGAGGUCUCAAGCGUUGUUCGGAUUCAUUGGGCGUAAAGGGUGCGUAGGUGGCGUCGUAAGUCGGGUGUGAAAUCUCGGGGCUUAACUCCGAAACUGCAUUCGAUACUGCGGUGCUUGAGGACUGGAGAGGAGACUGGAAUUUACGGUGCAGCAGUGAAAUGCGUAGAGAUCGUAAGGAAGACCAGUGGCGAAGGCGGGUCUCUGGACAGUUCCUGACACUGAGGCACGAAGGCCAGGGAAGCAAACGGG
rnacentral:rRNA from 1 species